rnacentral:lncRNA from 1 species
CAAAAAAAAAAAAAAAUAGUCUUAAAAAUGAGCCAACCCAACCUGUACCCAACCAUAAUUGCUGGUGUCAGACUGUGUGGUUUGAGUAUUUCACAAACUGGAUUUUCAGAACAUUGUAGAGUUUGGUACAUAAAUGAAAACCAUCCAGUGUGCAGUUCUGUGAAAGAAAAGGCCUUGAUUUGAGAAGGUUUAGAGAAAAAUGGCCAGACCGAUGUGAACUAGAACAUCUUUGAAUUGACCAUAUUCAUCCAUUAUAGCCACAGUCAAUCCCAACUUCUUGCAGAAUUCAUGGCUUUUUAAAAUAUAACACUGCUUGUGCACCAUGACCAUGAUGAUAUUAAAGCGACUAGUGUGCCACCUAACCACAGAAUAAAGGUCAGUAUCACACAGCAAGUCUAGAUUGAGGCUUGUCUCACUAAAUGAGACCCUGAAAGAGGCGUAUAUCAAAUGCAUCGCUACACACUCAGCAUAAAAAAUAAUCAGUGACCAAUUUACAUAGUAGUCAGUACACAUUUCUCCCCUUAUUAACGCUUAAAAUGAGCAAGUUGGAAUGGAUAGGACGCUUGAAAAACAUGGUGAAGAAGAGUCCUUUAUAUUCAAAUUUCAUUAUCGGCUUUGUGAUGCUUGGACUUGAGCAACUUGUGGAGAUAGACUUCGCAUGCCCUUGUAAUCCAAAGCUGAAUUUGCUGUUUUCAACGGCAUACUUUGUAGUUCCAGCUCUGUUCUCUUUUGCACUUUUGUUUUAUAUCCAAAGCUCACAAAUCAGUAAUUAUUCAAGCUGUUUGCACUGUGCUUUAGUUUGUCUCACACCGGCUGUUCUCUGGAUCAUGCUGCUGUUCUUUGAUGGACAAUACUUUGCCUGCGCAAAGACUUCAUGGGAAGGACUGACAGUUCACACGGAUAUAACUGCUUCAACAACGUGGUGUCAGCCUUUAGUCACACCUGACAAUACCACAGAAAAGCAAAGGGCAUUUUUUAGCUAUCGAAAUAAUUCCCAGAUAGUGGGACUGUGCAUACUGCUCCUGAUGUCACUGCCUCUGAUUUGGAUGGGAAUUAGGAAAUGGCAAUACACACCAACAAGAACCAAAGAACUUGAAAAUGAACAAAUAGAAAUGGUGGAUUUGAGCCCUUCACCCCUUCCUGACAGUGCUUCUACAAUUGUGGAUCACAGUAGAGAUGACUUUUAACAGCGCUGACUUCGUUUUUAUAGUAAGACAUGUUUUCAUGAUUCAAAACCUAGUGUUUAAAAUUCAUAUGUCUUCAUAUCUUCAUAUGAAUAAAUGUAAGAAAGAUUUUAUAUUUAUUUUUACAUACUGUAACUACUGAAAUUAGUCUUUUUGCAACAGAAAUAAUCAACUUUGUGUAACUCACUUCUGGACUCAAACCAUAUUUUAUAAUUUUCUAAUGAAACUAUGUCAUAUUGCAUGUUUUUCCUAUAGCAACUGUCAUAUAGAGUAACAAACCACUUCCUGUCAUUUACAACAAGGUCAUAUUUAAUUUCUGGUUUUAAAUUACUUCCACUUUAAAUUAUACUCAGAUAUUAAAUCAUUAAAUAGUCUUUCAAUGAAAAGGCAAAAUAAAAACAGACAUGUUGCUAAACUACACUGAGUGACAGUUUGAUGUUAAGAAAAAAAAAAAAAUGGGAACUUCUUGAACCAGUGACUUCUCAAAUUUAAAGCAAAAUGCAUAACUCCAG